rnacentral:rRNA from 1 species
GAUGAACGCUGGCGGCGUGCCUAAUACAUGCAAGUCGAGCGAACAGACGAGGAGCUUGCUCCUCUGACGUUAGCGGCUGACGGGUGAGUAACACGUGGAUCACCUACCUAUAUUACUUGGAUAACUUCGUGAAACCGGAUCUACUACCGGCUAAUAUAUUGAACCGCAUGGUUCAAUAGUUCAAGACGGUUUUGCUGUUACUUUUAGCUGGAUUCGCGCCGCAUUAGCUAGUUGGUAAGGUAACGGCUUACCAAGGCGACGAUGCGUAGCCGACCUGAGAGGGUGAUCGGCCACACUGGAACUGAGACACGGUCCAGACUCCUACGGGAGGCAGCAGUAGGGAAUAUUCCGCAAUGGGCGAAAGCCUGACGGAGCAACGCCGCGUGAGUGAUGAAGGUCUUCGGAUCGUAAAACUCUGUUAUUAGGGAAGAACAAAUGUGUAAGUAACUAUGCACGUCUUGACGGUACCUAAUCAGAAAGCAACGGCUAACUACGUG